UACGUAGGGUGCAAGCGUUUAAUCGGAAUUACUGGGCGUAAAGCGUGCGCAGGCGGUGAUGUAAGACAGAUGUGAAAUCCCCGGGCUCAACCUGGGAAUUGCAUUUGUGACUGCACGGCUAGAGUGUGUCAGAGGGGGGUAGAAUUCCACGUGUAGCAGUGAAAUGCGUAGAGAUGUGGAGGAAUACCGAUGGCGAAGGCAGCCCCCCUGGGAUAACACUGACGCUCAUGCACGAAAGCGUGGGGAGCAAACAGG
rnacentral:rRNA from 1 species